GUAACAAGGUUUCCGUAGGUGAACCUGCGGAAGGAUCAUUACCGAGUUAGGGUGCCGAAAAACGCGCCCGAACCUCCAACCCUUUGCUUACUUGACCCUUUGUUGCUUCGGCAGGCCCGUCUUCGUGACCGCCGGGAGUCGUUGAUGGCUCUUGGUCCGCGCCUGCCGACGGCCCAAAUCAAAACCUUUGCUUAAACGUGUCGUCUAAGUGAUUGUUAAAAACAAAUAAUCAAAAACUUUCAACAACGGAUCUCUUGGUUCUGGCAUCGAUGAAGAACGCAGCGAAAUGCGAUAAGUAAUGCGAAUUGCAGAAUCCGUGAGUCAUCGAAUCUUUGAACGCAUAUUGCGCCCUUUGGUAUUCCGAAGGGCAUGCCUGUUCGAGCGUCAUUAUCACCCCUCAAGCCCGGCUUGUUGUUGGACCAAGUCCCGUCACACGGACCGGUCCCAAAGAUAAUGACGGCGUCUGUGAGGACUCCAGUACACUGAGCUUUCGGGCACGUACUGUCAAGAAUCCAGGCUCCGUUUAACCAAAAGACAGGUGCUUCGGCGCCCAUCUUUACUUCAAGGUUGACCUCGGAUCAGGUAGGAAUACCCGCUGAACUUAAGCAUAUCA
rnacentral:rRNA from 1 species